GCCAGACUCCUACGGGAGGCAGCAGUGAGGAAUAUUGGUCAAUGGGCGGGAGCCUGAACCAGCCAAGUCGCGUGAGGGAUGACGGCCCUAUGGGUUGUAAACCUCUUUUGCCGGGGAGCAAAGUGCCGCACGUGUGCGGUUUGGAGAGUACCCGGAGAAAAAGCAUCGGCUAACUCCGUGCCAGCAGCCGCGGUAAUACGGAGGAUGCGAGCGUUAUCCGGAUUCAUUGGGCGUAAAGCGCGCGUAGGCGGCCUGUUAGGUCGGGGGUCAAAUACCGGGGCUCAACCCCGGUCCGCCCCCGAUACCGGCAGGCUUGAGUCUGGUAGGGGAAGGCGGAAUUCCCAGUGUAGCGGUGGAAUGCGCAGAUAUUGGGAAGAACACCGGCGGCGAAGGCGGCCUUCUGGGCCACGACUGACGCUGAGGCGCGAAAGCUAGGGGAGCGAACAGGAUUAGAUACCCCAGUA
rnacentral:rRNA from 1 species